AUUGAACGCUGGCGGCAGGCCUAACACAUGCAAGUCGAACGAGUGGCGGACGGGUGAGUAAUGUCUGGGAAACUGCCCGAUGGAGGGGGAUAACUACUUGAAACGGUAGCUAAUACCGCAUACCAUCGGAUGUGCCCAGAUGGGAUUGGAGAGUAGGUGGGGGAACGGCUCACCUAGGCAACGAUCCCUAGCUGGUCUGAGAGGAUGACCAGCCAGACGGGAAAUGAGAAACGGUCCAGACUCAUACGGGAGGCAGCAGGGGGGAAUUUUGCACAAUGGGCGCAAGCAUGAUGCAGCCAUGCCGCGUGUAUGAAGAAGGCCUUCGGGUUGUAAAGUACUUUCAGCGAGGAGGCGUUACUCGCAGAAGAAGCACCGGCUAACUCCGUGCCAGCAGCCGCGGUAAUUC
rnacentral:rRNA from 1 species